rnacentral:rRNA from 1 species
UGAGGAAUAUUGGUCAAUGGGCGAGAGCCUGAACCAGCCAAGUCGCGUGAGGGAAGACGGUCCUAUGGAUUGUAAACCUCUUUUGUCGGGGAGCAACGAAGGCACGUGUGCCUGAAGCGAGAUUACCCGAAGAAAAAGCAUCGGCUAACUCCGUGCC